AGGGUUCGAUUCUGGCUCAGAACGAACGCUGGCGGCAGGCCUAACACAUGCAAGUCGAGCGCGCCCUUCGGGGUGAGCGGCGGACGGGUUAGUAACGCGUGGGAACGUACCCUUUGGCAGGGAAUAGCCACUGGAAACGGUGAGUAAUACCCUAUGAGCCCUUCGGGGGAAAGAUUUAUCGCCAAAGGAUCGGCCCGCGUUAGAUUAGGUAGUUGGUGGGGUAAUGGCCUACCAAGCCUACGAUCUAUAGCUGGUUUUAGAGGAUGAUCAGCAACACUGGGACUGAGACACGGCCCAGACUCCUACGGGAGGCAGCAGUGGGGAAUCUUGGACAAUGGGGGCAACCCUGAUCCAGCCCAUGCCGCGUGAGUGAAGAAGGCCUUAGGGUCGUAAAGCUCUUUCGCCUGUGAAGAUAAUGACGGUAGCAGGUAAAGAAAUCCCGGCUAACUCCGUGCCAGCAGCUGC
rnacentral:rRNA from 1 species